rnacentral:rRNA from 1 species
AUCAUUACAGAGUUCAUGCCCUUCGGGGUAGAUCUCCCACCCUAUGUAUUUAUACCUUUGUUGCUUUGGUAGGCCGUCACACUUCGGUCUGACCACUGGCUUCGGCUGGUGCGUGCCCGCCAGAGGACCAAACUCUGAAUGUUAGUGAUGUCUGAGUACUAUAUAAUAGUUAAAACUUUCAACAACGGAUCUCUUGGUUCUGGCAUCGAUGAAGAACGCAGCGAAAUGCGAUAAGUAAUGUGAAUUGCAGAAUUCAGUGAAUCAUCGAAUCUUUGAACGCACAUUGCGCCCCGUGGUAUUCCGCUGGGCAUGCCUGUUCGAGCGUCAUUAUGACCACUCACGCCUGGCGUGGUGUUGGGGCACGCGGUUCCGCGGCCCUCAAAUCCAGUGGCGGCGCCGGUUGGCUCUAAGCGUAGUAAAACUUCUCGCUUCAGGGUCCUCUCGGUGGCUCGCCAGAACCCCCCAACUUCUUAAGGUUGACCUCGGAUCAGGUAGGGAUACCCGCUGAACUUAAGCAUAUCAAUAAGCGGAGGA